UGGGGGAUAUUGCACAAUGGGCGAAAGCCUGAUGCAGCGACGCCGCGUGAGGGAUGACGGCCUUCGGGUUGUAAACCCCUUUCAGUAGGGAAGAAGCGAAAGUGACGGUACCUGCAGAAGAAGCGCCGGCGAACUACGUGCCAGCAGCCGCGGUAAUACGUAGGGCGCAAGCGUUGUCCGGAAUUAUUGGGCGUAAAGAGCUCGUAGGUGGCUUGUCGCGUCUGCCGUGAAAACCCGAGGCUCAACCUCGGGCGUGCGGUGGGUACGGGCAGGCUAGAGUGUGGUAGGGGAGACUGGAACUCCUGGUGUAGCGGUGAAAUGCGCAGAUAUCAGGAAGAACACCGAUGGCGAAGGCAGGUCUCUGGGCCAUUACUGACACUGAGGAGCGAAAGCAUGGGUAGCGAACAGG
rnacentral:rRNA from 1 species